rnacentral:snoRNA from 1 species
UGCACAUGAUGUUUCUCACGAUGGUCUUCAUAUUCCCUCCAAGUAGGGAUGCUGACAUUGCUUUUAAGCACUUCACUGAUGCAAUCUA